rnacentral:rRNA from 1 species
UACGUAGGGGGCAAGCGUUAUCCGGAUUUACUGGGUGUAAAGGGGGCGCAGACGGCGAUGCAAGCCAGGAGUGAAAGCCCGGGGCCCAACCCCGGGACUGCUCUUGGAACUGCGUGGCUGGAGUGCAGGAGGGGCAAGCGGAAUUCCUGGUGUAGCGGUGAAAUGCGUAGAUAUCAGGAGGAACACCGGUGGCGAAGGCGGCCUGCUGGACUGCAACUGACGUUGAGGCCCGAAAGCGUGGGGAGCAAACAGG